AGCAUAAAUAUCAAAACAGAUGCUAGUAAGUUGGUGGACAUCCUACAAGGUAAGGGGUCACAAGAAAAAGUAAUUCUUUGGACCAUCAAUGAAAUAGGUAGGAUUGGAUGGAACUUGGAGUGGUGUUUACACUACACCAAAAAAUAGAAUAAGAAACACAAGACAUAGAACGGGUAACUUAGAUAGGCGAUCUCUGGGAUUUUAUACAACGCCUAUCUAAGUUAACCACUCUAUUUGAUUUUUUUUUUUUAAAAAAUAGUUACUAUACUACAUAGAACGCCUUCUUAAUUAACCGUUAUAUUUUAUUUUAACAUAUUUAAAAAAAAUAAAAAAAAAUAAAAAAGAAUAGCAAAACCCUAUUCCUUGUCGGCUGGUUUGAACGCCCAUCAUAUUUUCUCAACAGCCGUUCAUGGCUUCUUCUCUUCCCUCUCUUUAGAAAUUUCCUCUCUCUUUCUUUUUCCCUCUCUCCCUACUCAGAUCUAGUUUAAAGCUUUUCCAUUGCUCUAACCCUAACUCCAAUAAACACUAUCUCAUCUCCAUCACCUUCUCUACUUGCAAAACACCCAUAUCUUUCUUAGUCAAAACAACCUUAAUUUGGAGCUUCAUCAAUGGCAAUACAACAAGCAACUAAGAGAAAACUCGUCGAAUUCUCUCUUCCUUGACAAUUAUGGUUGCCCAAUUUUCAUCAAGCAAGAUCAGGAAUUUAUAUUAUACCGGAAAAUAGAGGAACAAUGCAGCAGCAAGGAAAUAUAACUCAACUGCUAUUUGUCGCUCCCAAUUUACCAGGUAACGCUCCCUUUUUGACUUGAAUGGACCACUAUGCCCUUUAUGCAAUUUGUGUUAUAAAAAGGACCUUGUUCCCCAUUUGGACACAAUACAUGAAACGGUCCCCUCACUUCAAUUCACGACAUUGCUGUCCCGAGUCUCCCAAAAUCGGUCCCCACGACCUUGCAACCAAAUCGGUCCCGACGACCACCUAAAUUUUCUAUUUUAAAAAAUCGUGAAAUUUUCCGACGGGUCUUGAGUCAUAGACGUCGAGUGGAACAUACGUACGCCGGAGAAUGCGUCGGAUCAUUCUAGAUGUGGAGGCUAAGGUGACGAAGAUGUUUGGAAACAAGACGGUUGGUGUCAGGUUUAGAGCUGGGAGAUGGUUUAAAAUCGUGAAUGCAACAACACAGGCGGAGUAUGAUCGUGCUCUAACUGCCAUGCAAGUGAGGUGGGGAAAAUAUCCGGAAGUGAUUCAGUAUGUUCAGAGAACAUGGCUUUGUCAUAAGGAGAAAUUUGUGAAAUUUUGGACGAACCAGGUUCUUCAUUUUGGUAACACCACCAACUGCAGAGUUGAGAGCCAACAUUCAGCAGUGAAAACUUGGUUUGAAUCAUCCACAGAAUCAUUGGCAAGUGCUUUGGAUACCGUAUGGGCCCGAGUCCAUUGUCAUAUCAGUAAUCACAUCAUACAAAUUCGUAAUGACUUGGAGGCAUCAAGGUCUAAAAUACAGUGAAAACUUGGUUUGAAUCAUCCACAGGUGCUUUGGAUACCGUAUGGGCCCGAGUCCAUUGUCAUAUCGGUAAUCGCAUCAUACAAAUUCGUAAUGACUUGGAGGCAUCAAGGUCAUUGGUCAGAUGUACAGAUAGUUGCCACUGUCACGUAUAAAUGGCAAAGUGUCUCAACAUUGCUUGAAAGUUCUUGAUAAGGAGACGAAGAGGAUGCGUGAUUUGAGUUACCAGGUCCAUGAACGGUGUGGAUGUGCUAUGCGUGUGACCCAUGGUCUUCCAUGUGCUUGCCAGAUACAUGAUUCGAUAGUUGCACAGACAGGAUUGUAUAGCAGCCAAAUUCAUUCUUUCUGGAAGAUACUGGUUAUUGGUGAUGGUGUUAACAUUCCUGAAGUGGUAAAUGAUUCGACCGAGGAGGCUGCACAUUUUCGGUCCCUAAUCGACGAAGUCAUGGAAAGUGACCCGACCGUACGUCGAAAUGUAACGCGAAUCAUUGAAGAGGAGCUACAUCCAGAUCAUUCACACCGAGGAGGCUGCACAUUUUCGGUCCCUAAUCGACGAAGUCAUGGAAAGUGACCCGACCGUACGUCGAAAUGUAACGCGAAUCAUUGAAGAGGAGCUACAUCCAGAUCAUUCACACCUUGAAGAACCACAUAUCAACCUUAACACUCGUGGUCGACCGAAGAGAAACACCAGGCGUGAUCGUAGCUAUUUCGAGCAUGUGAACCGUCAACACACUCAACGUGGUGGUGACCCAGAACCAGAUCCAAGUGACAUUAGUCAAUGCAGAUAUUUGAACUUGCUUCCAGCCACAAUGUUGCCGUACAUUUCGUCUUGGAAGGAUGUCAUUGGUGAUGGAAACUGUGGCUUUCGUUGUGUCGCCGACUUCUUCUUUGGCAAUCAAAAUCAGUGGUUUGACGCUCGGGAAACAAUAGCGAACGAGAUCGCUGGUCAUCCUGAUUUGUACGAACGAAUUUACGGGCUUGGGCGACUUUGGAUGAACGUGGAGCGUAUUCGAUGGGAUGGUGGGUCUGUCGGGGAGCGGCAUUGAAUGGUUACAAUUCAAGAUUUAUUUCCUAUUGCUACGUGGUUCAACACAAGGGUGAUUUGUCUCGGAGUAGGCCUAGUACCAACUUGUUACUACCCAUGCAUCACAGUCUUACCGCUUAGGGCACGCAAAGGGGUUCGGUCACCGACUCGAGAGUUUGUGAUUGCUACAGUUGGUGGAUCACAUUUUAUCCGUCUUGACCUUGUACCUGAUUAACCACUCCCGCCGAUCGCCGGGUGUUGGACGUAACACCACGAGGAUAGUGUCAAUGGAUGGGAUCAAGCAUAUCAAUUGAGAAGGGACAUGUGGGAUGCAUUAGUUAGGUAGUUUGUGAUGUACAUUCACUAACUUUGAACAUUUGUAGGAAAAUUAGAAUUAUGAAAUUAAUUUUAAAUGUAUUUGCUUUUAAUCUAA